CAAAUACUCCCUCCGUCCAGAAAUACUUGUCAUCAAAAUGGAUAAAAGGAAAUGUAUCUAGACAUAUUUUAGUUUUAGGUACAUCUCUUUUUAUCCAUUUUGAUGACAAGUAUUUUCGGACGGAGGGAGUAGAAA
rfam:Triticum aestivum genome assembly, contig: Triticum_aestivum_CS42_TGACv1_scaffold_198306_3AL